UACAGAGGGUGCGAGCGUUAAUCGGAAUUACUGGGCGUAAAGCGUGCGUAGACGGUUAUUUAAGUCGGAUGUGAAAGCCCCCGGCUCAACCGGGGAAUUGCGCCUGAUACUGGCGGGCUAGAGGUCGAUAGGGGUGAGCGGAACUCCAGGUGGAGCGGUGAAAUGCGUAGAUAUCUGGAGGAACACCGGUGGCGAAAGCGGCUCACUGGAUCGAAACUGACGCUGAGGUGCGAAAGCUAGGGUAGCAAACGGG
rnacentral:rRNA from 1 species